rnacentral:rRNA from 1 species
CAGUAGCCGCGGUAAAACGGAGGGCGCGAGCGUUACCCGGAUUUACUGGGCGUAAAGGGCGUGUAGGCGGCCUGGGGCGUCCCAUGUGAAAGGCCACGGCUCAACCGUGGAGGAGCGUGGGAUACGCUCAGGCUAGAGGGUGGGAGAGGGUGGUGGAAUUCCCGGAGUAGCGGUGAAAUGCGCAGAUACCGGGAGGAACGCCGAUGGCGAAGGCAGCCACCUGGUCCACUUCUGACGCUGAGGCGCGAAAGCGUGGGGAGCAAACCGGAUUAGAUACCCCUGUAGUCCCUGUCUCUUAUAA